rnacentral:rRNA from 1 species
UACGUAGGGUGCAAGCGUUGUCCGGAAUUAUUGGGCGUAAAGAGCUCGUAGGCGGUUUGUCGCGUCUGCUGUGAAAACUCGGGGCUUAACUCCGGGCCUGCAGUGGGUACGGGCAGACUAGAGUGCGGUAGGGGAGACUGGAAUUCCUGGUGUAGCGGUGAAAUGCGCAGAUAUCAGGAGGAACACCGGUGGCGAAGGCGGGUCUCUGGGCCGAUACUGACGCUGAGGAGCGAAAGCAUGGGUAGCGAACAGG